rnacentral:piRNA from 1 species
CACUCUGGAAGGAAGAAAGCUCGGGGU